GAGAAAGACAUUCGUUAGCGGGGUUUUUUUUUUUCUCGUGACAAAAACCCCACACAACAACAUGACAGACGUGUUCCAUUACAGCGGGAAGGGAAUUCGUUUUCGUGUGACACAGAUGGCCUAGAAAAAAUAAAACGGUUGUCUAGCAAAAUGACCCUAAUAUCAGCUCCAUCAUUGUCCCAUCUACCCUGACCAGCUUUACUGUCCCCGCAGAAGAAAAGAACCCCACGACAUGAUGCUGCUGUGCCACCGUUUCUCAGUGGGGAUGACGUUUUUAGCAUUGUGUCCCCCACACAUUUGGCAUGAACGCCAAAGAGCUCUUUUGGACUCUGACUACAGUACUAUUUUCCAUGCUCCCUAUGGCCUCCAUGGACUUUUUUUUUUAUAGCAUUCGUUCAACAAUCUGUCCAGUCAUUCAGUAAAGGCCAAGAUUUGUGGCACACAUUAA